rnacentral:rRNA from 1 species
UACGUAGGCAGCAAGCGUUGUUCGGAAUUACUGGGCGUAAAGAGUGUGUAGGCGGUGCUCUAAGUCUGUUGUGAAAUCUCCCGGCUUAACCGGGAGGGUGCGGCGGAAACUGGAGUGCUUGAGGGUGGGAGAGGUAAGCGGAAUUCCUGGUGUAGCGGUGAAAUGCGUAGAUAUCAGGAGGAACACCUGUGGUGUAGACAGCUUACUGGACCACUUCUGACGCUGAGACACGAAAGCGUGGGUAGCGAACAGG